AGAUCUGUGAGGGCGAUCUGGCUGCGACAUCUGUCACCCCAUUGAUCCCCAGGGUUGAUUCGGCUGAUCUGGCUGGCUAGGCAGGUGUCCCCUUCCUCCCUCACUGCUCCAUGUGAGUCCCUCCCCAAGCUGUGCGCUCGGUCGAAGAGGACAGCCUUUCCCGAAUAGAGACGAACAGGUCUUCAGUCGAGCUUAUACGAGUAGCUGCGCUCCGCUGCUAGAACCUCCAAAUGACCAAAUAUACAAAUAAAAUGUGGCAAUUGACAAUAACAGUAUUGCCCUCUCU
ensembl:misc_RNA 7SK 7SK RNA